CAUGUCUCUCCUGGCGCUGGCUACACUCCUGGGGAUGAUGCACAUCAUUCACUACCACCGGUCUGCACAUUCCUGUCCCACAGGGCUCUUAGCACCAGGGACAAGUUUCUCCAGGGACCCCUCUGUCCCAGAGGCCAGAGCACCUACUACUGCCGCGGGCAGGCAGCCAGAGAAUCCAUCCGGACGUAAACUGUCCAAGCCAGCCCCUCAUGGUAGGUGAGUAUUCU